rnacentral:rRNA from 1 species
UACGGAGGAUGCAAGCGUUAUCCGGAUUCAUUGGGUUUAAAGGGUACGUAGGUGGCUGAUUAAGUCAGUGGUGAAAACCUGCCGCUUAACGGUAGGCGUGCCAUUGAUACUGAUUGGCUUGAGUCCAGUUGAGGUAGGCGGAAUGUGUAGUGUAGCGGUGAAAUGCUUAGAUAUUACACAGAACUCCGAUUGCGAAGGCAGCUUACUAAACUGACACUGACGCUGAGGUACGAAAGCGUGGGUAGCGAACAGG